CCUACGGGAGGCAGCAGUGGGGAAUAUUGGACAAUGGGCGAAAGCCUGAUCCAGCCAUCCCGCGUGAGUGAUGAAGGCCCUCGGGUCGUAAAGCUCUGUGGAGAAGGACGAAAAAAUGCGGGUUAAUACCCCGUGUCUUGACGGUACUUCUUUAGCAAGCACCGGCUAACUCCGUGCCAGCAGCCGCGGUAAUACGGAGGGUGCAAACGUUGCUCGGAAUCAUUGGGCGUAAAGCGCACGUAGGCGGUCCGGUUAGUCGGAUGUGAAAGCCCUAGGCUUAACCAAGGAAGUGCAUUCGAAACUGCCGGACUUGAGUACGGGAGAGGAUCGCGGAAUUCUCGGUGAAGAGGUGAAAUUCGUAGAUAUCGGGAGGAACACCAGUGGCGAAGGCGGCGGUCUGGACCGAUACUGACGCUGAGGUGCGAAAGCGUGGGGAGCAA
rnacentral:rRNA from 1 species